UUCUUGUGGGUAAACUGCACCAAUGUGGGAUU
rnacentral:piRNA from 1 species